rnacentral:rRNA from 1 species
UACGGGGGGGGUAAGCGUUGUUCGGAAUUACUGGGCGUAAAGGGCUCGUAGGCGGCCAACUAAGUCAGACGUGAAAUCCCUCAGCUUAACUGGGGAACUGCGUCUGAUACUGGAUGGCUUGGAUUCGGGAGAGGAAUGCGGAAUUCCAGGUGUAGCGGUGAAAUGCGUAGAUAUCUGGAGGAACACCGGUGGCGAAGGCGGCGAUCUGGGUAGAUACUGACGCUGAGGUGCGAAAGCGUGGGGAGCAAACAGG